rnacentral:tRNA from 1 species
GGAGGUGUAGCUCAGUGGUAGAGGGUGUGCUUUCCAUGUAUGACAUCCCUGGUUCAAUUCCAGGUACCUCCA